AAGUUUGCGUGGGCGUGGGGUGGGAAGAGCAAGGAGGGGCUGUUCGAGCACCUGGGACCCGGGAUGAGAUGACAAGGGGGUUGGUGGGAGCCUGGGGGGCCCACUCUCUGAGGUUCGGUCCUUCCUGUCAGCUGAGCCCACAGUCUGGCCUCCGCGGCGAUACCAUCUCCUCAUUUCCGCAGGGGUGCGUGUGAGUUCCCUCCUCCUUGCCCCCAGCUGUGGGGCUGCUCCUCCUCUAAGCCACCCCCUCUGACAACCUUAUGGCCUCCAGAUGAGUGAAAAGGAAAAACCCUGGCAUUUUCCACUUCGUAGGUACCCUCUGACUCCUCAGGUCCUCACCACGAUGCUGGAAUAGAGGUAGGAUGCCCCCAUUGAUGAGAGAGGAAACUGAGGCCCAGAGAGGGGAGGGACUUGCCCAGGGUCACACCGUAAGGCUGAGCCUGGAUGAGGGGCUCAGGGCUCUGGACUGCUGGGGUCAGUGUUCUGGGGCUUUCCUCCCAGCCCUGCCCACCCUCAGCUUGGUCUUAGCUUCCACCUGCCGACAGAUGCUGUCAGAAAAUUCUGAGGCCCUGCUCUAAGAAAGUUAUACCGUGAGGCAGAAGUGUGCCAAUUGCCGGGAGGAGGGCCAAAACUGCUGUCUCCCGGGCACGGGGGACCUGGAGGAAACAGUAGUGGGAUAGGGAGGGAAACCGAGGCGAGUCAGGAACAUGGGAUUGAGCCCGGCUCUGAAGCCCCUAUGAUCCCAAGCAAGUCCCUGGGGCCCAGUAUUUUCAUCUGUGGACUACAUCUUAGUCCUGGCCCUGCACACCCUCACCUGCCACCCCCGGGCUGUCAACUGUCAAGCUGAAGGACUCAGCGGAAGCAGAAGUUUGCUGAGACCCGGAGGGGACCGACUUGCGGAAACAGAGCCUUGGUCAGUGUGACCCCCUCAUCGAGCCGCCUGGGUCCCAGCAUCACCGUUGUUGGGAUUGUGGGACAACUUCCCACAGCGCACCCAGACCCACCCAGGCUCCAGUAACUUCCAGCUGAGCCCCUAAGUUCCAGUAACUUCCUGCCCUCCAGAGGCAGAGUGUGGAGCAUGUGGAGGUCUUCUCUUGCCUGGCCCGUGAGGUCCAAGAAAACCAGAGACGGACACACCCAUGAAUGGAGAGACAGAGAAAGAGAGACUGGCAGAGACAGAGACAAGAAGCAGAGAUGGAGAUCCAAACCAACUGGAGAGAGUGACAGAGGGAAGGAGACAAGGAAACCCAGAAGCAGGGAACUCCGGAGAGGGACAGAGAUGGACAGAAGAGAAACAGAAACCCGACAGUGAGAAAGAAGCAAUGCAGAGAAAGACCGAGAUGGACGGACCGACAGAGAAUGAAGGGCAGUGCGGAAGGCACCCUGCACUCACUGAACUUUCUGCUGGCUUUCUUGGGCCCUUCCGUCAUCUUGAUGUGGAAACUGAGGCUCCCUGAAAGUCAGCUUACCUGGAAUUAGGACCUACUUGUCCAGCUAUGGAGCCUGCGGUCCUAACUGCCACUCUACAGCUCCGGAAACCUCCUGGCAGCUGGGUGAUGGGUCCUGGUAGGGGAGGCGUCUGACUGAACCUUCUUAAUGGCAUGAGGGGGAAACCGAGGCCUUGAGGGGAAAAGGGACACAGCCUGAGAGAUCAAGACAUCAGAGUCCUACUCACAGACAGACCUGGAUGGGAACAGUGUCCAAAGUUCAGAUGAAAGAAUGAGGUUUCUCAGUCAUGGAUUUAGGAAGAGAAGGUCCUUCUACUGAGCCGUGACCACGAACCAGGCAUGGAGGUGAAAGCCUCCACAGAGCGUCCAUUGAGUCCCUACAACCGACCUGUGAGGUGAAUGCUGCUACUGUCCCAUUUCACAGAUGAGGAAACUGAGGCUAAAGGGGAGCAGAGACUAGACACCCAGCUGUCUUAGCUCCCAGGCCGGUGCUCCCUCCCACCUCGUUGUCAGAGAGAAGGGCCUCUGGCUUCCUCGUGGAAGGCAGAGCGUGGCCCCCUGACUUCUCUCCCAGGAGGCUAGUCCCAGCGACUUGGGCCAAGUGCUGGGUUUCUGUCACUCCCGCCUCACUGUGUGACCCUUCAGAAGACACUUUACCUCUUUGGGUUUCAGUUUCUAUCUGUGAAAUAGGGUCAAAGAAGCACCCAUUUCCAGGGGUUGUUGGGAGGAUGAAAAGAGAAAAUGUGGGCCCAGGCUCUUGCGCUGUGGUCUCGGCAGCCCCUGGUGGUUGUUGCUGAGGGCCAGGAGUGGUUCAGGCCAGGGGCCGAUUGGCGCAGGCCCUGAAGACCCCAGGGGAGGGCACGGGCUGUGAGAGCUGGGAGCCCAGGCCACGGGGAGGCCAUGUUGCCAUGGCCAAUGUACAGCGUGAGCGCUAGGCCUGUGCGGGCCGUUGGCUCCGGGCGCCAGGGCGGUUGCGGCAUCCCUGGGAGAAAGAAUGGGGCUCAGUGUGGCGGCUCCACCAAGCUCAGAGCCCCCUUUGUGCUGCCUUGAGUGGCCGUUGGGAGAGCGGCUGGGGACCUGCUGGCGGGUGGCUGUCCCCCAGGCCCGCCUCAGCCCACGUUGGAGGCCAGCCCAGAGCAGCCCAUGCUCCACAGCCUUGAACACACAGUGCUUUCCUCCCUCCAGGCUUCUGCCCAGGCUGGACCCACACCCAGAAAGCCGCCCUUCCCUCCACUGGCUGGACGUUUUGCCUCUGUGGUCGGGGCUCCAGGUCCAGAUUGAGCCACAGUCCCUAGGGAACCCUCCUCUGGUUUCUGUCCCCUCCAUCCGGCCCUGUUCCCUCAGUCUGUGACUCCACUGCCCACAGUUUGGCCAGGUACUAUUAGGCCUUCAGUGUCACAGUCAAAGGCAUUGGACCCAGGCAAACCUGAGUUCAGACCCCAAGUGCAUGACCUUGGGCAAGUCAUGUCACUUCUCUGAGCCUUCGGCCAAAUGAGACCAACACAACCUCCCUCACACAAUCCUGUGGCAGUGAAAUAAAACACUUACACUGUAUCAUCCAUAUUA